AUGCCCUCUUCCAUCGCCACCCACCUCCUCAAAGCCGCCGCCGCAAAGCCCCUCUUCUCCCCCCGCGCGGCCCAGAUCCCCGCGCUCCCCCGCCCGCCCGCCGCCCGCCGCCCCCCCGCGCCCGCCACCGCCGCCUGCCGCUGGUUCCGGUGGCCGUCGCCCGCGAGGGGGCUCUGCUCCUCGCCGCAUUCCGGCUCUGCCGAGGGGAUGGGAUCUGACGGCACGGGGGCCAGGAGGCGGCUGCCGCCAGCCAACGGUGUGUCCAAGGAAGGGGCGCCGCCGCAGCCCGUCCCGCCCAGGCUGCUCACGCUGCCCACCGUGCUCACCAUUGGCCGCGUCGCCGCCGUCCCGUUCCUCAUAAGCACUUUCUACAUGGAAGGUCCUUGGGCAGCAACUGCCACAACUGGCAUCUUCCUUGCUGCAGCAAUCACUGAUUGGCUAGAUGGUUAUAUCGCGAGAAAGAUGCAUUUGGGAACACCUUUUGGUGCAUUUCUUGAUCCUGUGGCCGACAAGCUUAUGGUAGCUGCAACACUAGUGUUGCUGUGCACCAAACCUUUGGAAACUUCACUGCUCACGAAUGGACCAUGGCUUCUGACAGUUCCUUCCAUUGCCAUCAUUGGGAGAGAGAUCACAAUGUCAGCUGUUAGAGAGUGGGCUGCGUCUCAGAAUACCCAAGUUCUUGAGGCUGUGGCAGUAAACAAUUUAGGGAAGUGGAAGACAGCGACACAGAUGACAGCAUUGACUCUGCUCCUUGCCAGCAGAGACCCGAGUCUACAUGUACAAGGUGCUCUAGUCCCCCCUGGUGUCGCGUUGCUCUAUGCAUCUGCUGGACUUGCCAUAUGGUCCCUAGUGGUGUACAUCAGAAAUAUAUGGCGGAUACUUCUAAAAUAG
rnacentral:rRNA from 1 species